UGCAGCCCUCUUUAACAAUGCUUUUUUACCUUUUCAUACAGACAAUUGGUAGCACAACAGAACAGUACAAGGCUGUAUUUGGACUUUACUAUUAUAUAAGUAGAUGUACAACAAAACGUGUUUUUUCGUGUGUCUUUAUUAUAUUUGUUUACAUAUUCAAUUUGCAUAAUUUUUACUAAAGGGUCUUAAAUAUUAUUUUACACGUGUGUUGUCUACUAGAGUCAUUGUUCAUUGGUUAUAUAUUUCAAAUUAUGCAUGUAAUAUUGAUCUUAUUAGGUAAUAUUGAAACAACCCCGGGGCCAAGUCACUUACAUAUUACACAGUUUACCUUAUAUCAGGUAGGGCACCAACCCCCAAUCAGUGCUUACACUCCCAUUUGGUGGUCAAUAGCAUAAAAAGUAUACACAUAUAACUAACCAAAUGGUGGUCUUUCUUAUUGGCGCCAAUAUUGCUUAAAAUUAAAAGGAAGGCGCAUUUGCACGAGUAUCAAGUGAUUUACAACUCACCCUAAGACUAUAUAAGGAGAGUUUUCCAAGAUUUCAUGCGUUAAAAUCGACAGCGGUGGGGAAGAGAGCCGAAGAAUAGUAUGUCAUACAGGUUUUCUAUCACAUUAAUGCAUUAUAAUUUAAACAUACCUCUUUAACUUCAAGAAAUGCUCUUAUGGGAUGUUCUUUAAACCAUCUUACUUCGUGAAACGAAGCGCCUAUUUGAUCAAGAUCAAUCAGAACCAAUGAAAAAUCCCGUUAUAAUUAAUUGGAGCGAGUAAACGUUUGCAAGGAGGAUCUUUAGUGUUAAAAAUACAUGAAACAAUUUACGCAAAUCUUUUUCAUAUUGCGUUAAUGAAUAUUGACAAUUUCUUUUAAAUUUUUUAACAACUUGUAUUUUUUAAUUGCACAGACAUGCCCUUUCAAAAGACGUGUAGCCUAAAAAACCAUAGUGCAAGUUGUACAUGUUUUGUUUGCCGGAUAGAUGGGGAAAAAGUGAAAACAAGUCAUUGAAAUAUUAAGAGGGAGAGUUAAGCCGCAGAGGAUAUUACAUUUACAAUACAAUUACAUUACGCAAGACUUGUUCCAAAAAGGAAAAAAACCCACCAUCGUUUCAGAUAUCGUGAAUAAGAUUGACAGCGGCGAAAUUGAAAAAUGGUGACCUGGAGAUGAUCAUGACAGCUAUUGGUAGACAACAAUCAUCGAAGAUUGAAGCAGAUAGUGUUCAUGCUGGUGCUCUACAAAGAUGACGAAAUAUGAAAACAGUUUGAUCCAUCUAGAAGCAAAGAGGCAUUAGUUAUUGCAAGUGCAUCUUCCCUAAGUGGGAGUUACACCAGCAUACUAGGGUGGUUGAAAGCCCACAGUAAAUUUUGAUAACACUCAGAUUAUUGGAAGAAAAUGGAGGGUGAAGAAUGAUUUCAAGGCGGAGUCUUGUGUUAUCACUUCUGUGGCACAUAUGCAACCCAGAAGUGAUAUUCAAACCAAGGAAGAGCUUGCUCUAUCCAAGUGGCAAAUAUUCACGGAUUCAGCAAAGACGAGUACGCUGAAUAAAAUCAGAGAACAAGAGAAAGUGUAGGAAAAAGAGUUCA